UAGUAGCGGCGAGCGAGCGGGAAGAGCUCAAAUUUAUAAUCUGGCACCUUCGGUGUCCGAGUUGUAAUCUCUAGAAAUGUUUUCCGCGUUGGACCGCACACAAGUCUGUUGGAAUACAGCGGCAUAGUGGUGAGACCCCCGUAUAUGGUGCGGACGCCCAGCGCUUUGUGAUACAUUUUCGAAGAGUCGAGUUGUUUGGGAAUGCAGCUCAAAUUGGGUGGUAAAUUCCAUCUAAAGCUAAAUAUUGGCGAGAGACCGAUAGCGAACAAGUACCGUGAGGGAAAGAUGAAAAGCACUUUGGAAAGAGAGUUAACAGUACGUGAAAUUGUUGGAAGGGAAACGCUUGAAGUCAGACUUGCUUGCCGAGCAAUCGGUUUGCAGGCCAGCAUCAGUUUUCCGGGAUGGAUAAUGGUAGAGAGAAGGUAGCAGUUUCGGCUGUGUUAUAGCUCUCUGCUGGAUACAUCUUGGGGGACUGAGGAACGCAGUGUGCCUUUGGCGGGGGUUUCGACCUCUUCACACUUAGGAUGCUGGUGGAAUGGCUUUAAACGACCCGUCUUGAA
rnacentral:rRNA from 1 species